GUUUCACUACGGAGACCUUGCAUAGCAGGCGACUCUAAAUAAGGUAUGCAAGUUGGCCACGCCAGCAACACAAUCGAACUGCGGGGACCUCCUAAAGCUCUCACUACUACCUGUCGCCGAAAGGCGGCAGCACAGUAAUAAUGUGCGAGAUGUACAAUGGAUAAUCCGCAGCGGCCCCCUACAGCUCUGCUACGGGUGUCGUUCACAGACUAAGUGAUUGUGGGUAGUUUAACUAUCUAAGAUAUAGUCGGCCUCGGGGCGAAAGCCCAGAGAGAAGCGUCCGUAGGUGAACCUGCGGAAGGAUCAUUA
rnacentral:rRNA from 1 species